rnacentral:rRNA from 1 species
UACGGAGGGUGCGAGCGUUGCCCGGAUUUAUUGGGCGUAAAGAGCGCGCAGGCGGUCGGAUAAGUCGAAUGUGAAAGCCCCCGGCUCAACUGGGGAGGGUCAUUCGAUACUGUUCGACUCGAAGGCAGGAGAGGGAAGUGGAAUUCCCGGUGUAGUGGUGAAAUGCGUAGAUAUCGGGAGGAACACCAGUGGCGAAGGCGACUUCCUGGCCUGUUCUUGACGCUGAGGCGCGAAAGCUAGGGGAGCAAACGGG